GGAGAGUAGAGCUCAGUGGUAGAGCACAUGCUUAGCAUGCACGAGGUACUGGGUUCAAUCCCCAGUCCCUCCA
rnacentral:tRNA from 1 species